rnacentral:rRNA from 1 species
UGCAAGUCGAGCGGUAACAGAUCCAGCUUGCUGGAUGCUGACGAGCGGCGGACGGGUGAGUAAUGCAUAGGAAUCUGCCCGAUAGUGGGGGAUAACCUGGGGAAACCCAGGCUAAUACCGCAUACGUCCUACGGGAGAAAGGGGGCUCCGGCUCCCGCUAUGGGAUGAGCCUAUGUCGGAUUAGCUAGUUGGUGAGGUAACGGCUCACCAAGGCCACGAUCCGUAGCUGGUCUGAGAGGAUGAUCAGCCACAUCGGGACUGAGACACGGCCCGAACUCCUACGGGAGGCAGCAGUGGGGAAUAUUGGACAAUGGGGGAAACCCUGAUCCACCCAUGCCGCGUGUGUGAAAAAGGCCCUCGGGUUGUAAA